rnacentral:rRNA from 1 species
CAGUCGCCGCGGGAAUACGGAGGGUGCAAGCGUUAUCCGGAUUUAUUGGGUUUAAAGGGUCCGUAGGCGGAUCUGUAAGUCAGUGGUGAAAUCUCACAGCUUAACUGUGAAACUGCCAUUGAUACUGCAGGUCUUGAGUAAAUUUGAAGUGGCUGGAAUAAGUAGUGUAGCGGUGAAAUGCAUAGAUAUUACUUAGAACACCAAUUGCGAAGGCAGGUCACUAAGAUUUAACUGACGCUGAUGGACGAAAGCGUGGGGAGCGAACAGGAUUAGAGACCCCUGUAGUCCCUGUCUCUUAUAC